AAAUAUCUUCAGGGCAGGGUGAAAUUCCCGACCGGCGGUAUAGUCCGCGACCCGUAUAGUUUUAUACGGCUGACUUGGUGGAAUUCCAAGACCGACAGUAAAGUCUGGAUGGAAGAAGGUAAAG
rnacentral:ncRNA from 2 species